rnacentral:lncRNA from 1 species
UUUAUCACGACCUUGAAUCUGAAGGCUGCCACCUCUAACAGUGUCUUGUUUUUUUAGGUAUAAGACCUCUUGAACAUGUCGAAGCAGCCAAUUUCCAACGUCAGAUCCAUUCAGGCCAAUAUUAAUAUUCCAAUGGGAGCCUUUCGUCCGGGAGCUGGGCAGCCUCCCAGAAGGAAAGAGAGUACCCCUGGAACUGCGGAGGGAGCACCUGCUACUCCCGAGGAAAAGAAGCCAGUUCCUGGAAUGAAGAAAUUCCCAGGACCCGUCGUCAACCUGUCUGAGAUCCAAAACGUUAAAAGUGAACUAAAAUACGUCCCCAAAGGUGAACAGUAGUUCAAAGGGGUCAGAAGGCUUGACGUGCUUUCUCAAUGGAAAAAACAAUGGGUUGAAAUAAACAACUUCAUGAGAAUUUUAUAUAUUUGUAUGAUGAUCACAAACUUCCUGAAUGCCCAAGACUCUAGCAAAAAAUAUCCUGUUUGUACAUUUAUAUUUCUUCCUUCUACUUGGCUGCAUUUCUCACUUUAGCUACAUUUUUGGCACCUUGCAGAGCAAAUGAGCACAUGAAUUUACCACCUGGGGAGUGUGGUUUUGAGGAGAGAUGUGAUUUUUAUGGAGGGGGGUACAGCAAUGUGCAUGCAGUGAUUUUGAUAUUAAGUACUUUUAAGUUACUUCCCACAGUCUUUUGGUCAAUAUUUGAAAUGUCUUCUUCACCUUUUAAAUGAUCUCAAUUAACUUUUUAUGAGUUGAAAUAAAUAUUUGAGUAAAUGUAACAUAUAAAUCUACACCAAAUUAAUUUUCCUACCUUCAGAUAGCUACAUAUUCUGUAAAGUAAAGAAAACUAUGAGGUACCACGGAGUCAAAUCCCAUAUUGCCUAUGUAGGGACUUAUGA